rnacentral:rRNA from 1 species
UACGGAGGAUGCGAGCGUUAUCCGGAUUUACUGGGUGUAAAGGGUGCGUAGGCGGGCUUGCAAGUCAGCGGUCAAAUUGCGGGGCUCAACCCCGUACUGCCGUUGAAACUGCAUCCCUUGAGUGCGCGAGAAGUAUGCGGAAUGCGUGGUGUAGCGGUGAAAUGCAUAGAUAUCACGCAGAACUCCGAUUGCGAAGGCAGCAUACCGGCGCCCAACUGACGCUGAAGCACGAAAGCGUGGGUAUCGAACAGG